GGCGGGUGCUGUCCGACUUUCAACAGUCGCAGCGAGAAUGUCCUAGGAAACUAAACAACUUUUUAAACUGUCUUUCCAAAGAAUCAGGAUGCUGAGAAGUCAACCAGCUCCUGGAGGACUGACCGGAAGGGCACCUGGCCUCGGCCCGGGCGGCUCCCCAUUCGUUCCUCACUGCGCCCCUCAUCCCCACUCCCCCGGCCCUGCAGGGUGCCCCGUGGUGCUGACCAUGGCAUUGCCUGGACCCAUCAACUGGUAAAACACACGAGCCUUAGCAGAGAUACGAUUUCAUUCCUCACCAGAGGCCCUUGAGAUUUUAGGAUUCUAUCAACGCUAGUAAAGGAACUACUUGAACACGUUGCUUUGUACUGCUUUCCCUGACUGUAAAACAUUAAAGAAAUUCCAUAAGGAUGAAGAUAUUUUUCCGUUGUCUGCUGAAUCCCUGAAGCCUAGCAUGUGUAAGAAGACACAGAAUGCAUAUUCACUGUAUCAUUUAGUCCUGGGCUGCUGAGAGAAAAUGCAAUCUCUAUGACAAAGCCAGCUCCACCUUCUAUCGGUCCCCUACUGUUGGGUGAAUAGUCCUCCAAAUGCUGGCAGGAAGGGGAUUGACUGCUAAGGAAGGAAAUCUCAGGCACUUCUCAUAUCUGAAAGGAAGGCACAGGAAGAGCCGCAGGAUGGAACUCAGACUGGAUGAAACUGGGAAGAUUUUGCUAGACAGAAAUUAGAAACGCUCCUACAAAGAAACUGAAGUUCCAUGAACAUGCUGUUGCCACCC
rnacentral:lncRNA from 1 species